GACGAACGCUGGCGGCGUGCUUAACACAUGCAAGUCGAACGGAAAGGCCCUGCUUUUGUGGGGUGCUCGAGUGGCGAACGGGUGAGUAACACGCGAGUAACCUGCCCUUGUCUUUGGGAUAACUUCAGGAAACUCGGGCUAAUACCGGAUAUGAGCUCCUGAUGCGUGGUGGGGGUUGGAAAGUGUCGGCGGUUGGGGAUGGACUCGCGGCUUAUCCGCUUGUUGGUGUGGUAGUGGCUUACCAAGGCUUCGACGGGUAGGCGGCCUGAGAGGGUGACCGGCCACAUUGGGACUGAGAUACGGCCCAGACUCCUACGGGAGGGAGCAGUGGGGAAUAUUGCACAAUGGGCGGAAGCCUGAUGCAGCAACGCCGCGUGCGGGAUGACGGCCUUCGGGUUGUAAACCGCUUUCGCCUGUGACGAAGCGUGAGUGACGGUAAUGUGUAAAGAAGCACCGGCUAACUACGUG
rnacentral:rRNA from 1 species